rnacentral:rRNA from 1 species
GAUGAACGCUGGCGGCGUGCCUAAUACAUGCAAGUCGAGCGAACAGACGAGGAGCUUGCUCCUCUGACGUUAGCGGCGGACGGGUGAGUAACACGUGGAUAACCUACCUAUAAGACUGGGAUAACUUCGGGAAACCGGAGCUAAUACCGGAUAAUAUAUUGAACCGCAUGGUUCAAUAGUGAAAGACGGUUUUGCUGUCACUUAUAGAUGGAUCCGCGCCGCAUUAGCUAGUUGGUAAGGUAACGGCUUACCAAGGCAACGAUGCGUAGCCGACCUGAGAGGGUGAUCGGCCACACUGGAACUGAGACACGGUCCAGACUCCUACGGGAGGCAGCAGUAGGGAAUCUUCCGCAAUGGGCGAAAGCCUGACGGAGCAACGCCGCGUGAGUGAUGAAGGUCUUCGGAUCGUAAAACUCUGUUAUUAUGGAAGAACAAAUGUGUAAGUAACUAUGCACGUCUUGACCGUACCUAAUCAGAAAGCCACGGCUAACUACGUG